rnacentral:rRNA from 1 species
AUUGAACGCUGGCGGCAUGCCUUACACAUGCAAGUCGAACGGUAACGCGGGGCAACCUGGCGACGAGUGGCGAACGGGUGAGUAAUGUAUCGGAACGUGCCCAGUUGUGGGGGAUAACUGCUCGAAAGAGCAGCUAAUACCGCAUACGACCUGAGGGUGAAAGCGGGGGAUCGCAAGACCUCGCGCAAUUGGAGCGGCCGAUAUCAGAUUAGGUAGUUGGUGGGGUAAAGGCCGACCAAGGCAACGAUCCGUAGCUGGUCUGAGAGGAUGAUCAGCCACACUGGGACUGAGACACGGCCCAGACUCCUACGGGAGGCAGCAGUGGGGAAUAUUGGACAAUGGGCGCAAGCCUGAUCCAGCCAUGCCGCGUGUGUGAAGAAGGCCUUCGGGUUGUAAAGCACUUUUGUUCGGGAAGAAAUCGUGCGGAUUAAUACUUCGUACGGAUGACGGUACCGAAAGAAUAAGCACCGGCUAACUUCGUGCCAGCCGCCGCGGUAAAAC